UCUACUCUGUCGUUGGGGAGUAACGUAGGGAAACGUUAACGCUAAUACCGCAUACGACCUACGGGUGAAAGCAGGGGAGUCUUCGGACCUUGCGCGAUUGAAUGAGCCGAUGUCUGAUUAGCUAGUUGGCGGGGUAAAGGCCCACCAAGGCGACGAUCCGUAGCUGGUCUGAGAGGAUGAUCAGCCACACUGGAACUGAGACACGGUCCAGACUCCUACGGGAGGCAGCAGCU
rnacentral:rRNA from 1 species